AGAGCAGCCUGUCUCUUGGAUGGAGUACCAGUAGCUUUGAAAAAAGUACAGAUAUUUGAUUUAAUGGAUGCCAAAGCACGUGCUGAUUGCAUCAAAGAAAUAGAUCUCCUCAAGCAACUCAACCAUCCAAAUGUAAUUAAAUAUUAUGCAUCAUUCAUUGAAGAUAAUGAACUAAACAUAGUUUUGGAAUUAGCAGAUGCUGGUGAUCUAUCCAGAAUGAUAAAGCAUUUUAAGAAGCAAAAGAGGCUAAUUCCGGAAAGAGCUGUCUGGAAGUACUUUGUUCAGCUCUGCAGCGCGUUGGAACACAUGCAUUCUUGAAGAGUCAUGCACAGAGAUAUAAAACCAGCUAAUGUGUUCAUUACAGCCACUGGGGUGGUGAAACUUGGAGAUCUUGGGCUUGGCCGGUUUUUCAGCUCCAAAACCACAGCUGCACAUUCUUUAGUGGGUACACCUUAUUACAUGUCUCCAGAGAGAAUACAUGAAAAUGGAUACAACUUCAAAUCUGACAUCUGGUCUCUUGGCUGUCUGCUGUAUGAGAUGGCUGCAUUACAGAGUCCUUUCUAUGGUGACAAAAUGAAUUUAUACUCGCUGUGUAAGAAGAUAGAACAGUGUGACUACCCACCUCUUCCUUCAGAUCACUAUUCAGAGGAACUACGACAGUUAGUGAAUAUGUGCAUCAACCCAGAUCCCGAGAAGCGACCAGACAUCACCUACGUUUAUGAUGUGGCUAAGAGAAUGCACGCGUGCACCGCGAGCAGCCGAACAGUGCAAGACCAUGAGGAACAGCAUACAAAUAAUUUAAAGUAUUGUCGUGCAAAUCAUACCUCCCCGUUUAUGUCUGGGUGUUAAGAUUAAUAUUCAGAGCUCAUGUGCUUUGACUCCUUAACCAGUUUUCACAUAAGCUUCAUUUUGUACCAAUGUAAAUCACCUUGUAACCCCCAAAUGACUUUGGAAAAAUCAAAUUGCAUGUUUGGAGAAUAAAAGAAACAGGAUGGUUUUCAAUAGAUAAAGGUUUAUAGAAUCGUUUAGAGUUUUCUGCAGAUAAAUUGUGUUCAGAU